rnacentral:rRNA from 1 species
GGAAUUUUGGACAAUGGGCGAAAGCCUGAUCCAGCAAUGCCGCGUGAGUGAAGAAGGCCUUCGGGUUGUAAAGCUCUUUUGUCAGGGAAGAAACGGUGAAGGCUAAUAUCCUUUGCUAAUGACGGUACCUGAAGAAUAAGCACCGGCUAACUACGUGCCAGCAGCCGCGGUAAUACGUAGGGUGCAAGCGUUAAUCGGAAUUACUGGGCGUAAAGCGUGCGCAGGCGGUUUUGUAAGUCUGAUGUGAAAUCCCCGGGCUCAACCUGGGAAUUGCAUUGGAGACUGCAAGGCUAGAAUCUGGCAGAGGGGGGUAGAAUUCCACGUGUAGCAGUGAAAUGCGUAGAUAUGUGGAGGAACACCGAUGGCGAAGGCAGCCCCCUGGGUCAAGAUUGACGCUCAUGCACGAAAGCGUGGGGAGCAAACAGGAUUAGAUACCCUUG